AGGUUCGAUCAUGGCUCAGAUUGAACGCUUUAGCGAGAUCUUUACACAUGCAAGUCGAACGGCAGCACGGACUUCGGUCUGGUGGCAGGUGGCGAACGGGUGAGAGUAAUGUAUCGGAACGUGCCCAGUAGCGGGGGAUAACUACGCGAAAGCGUAGCUAAUACCACAUACGCCCUUCAGGGAAAGCGGGGGACCUUCGGGCCUCCGCACUAUUAAGAGCAGCCGAUAUCCGGAUUAGCUAGUUGGUGGGAGUAACGGCUCACGCCGACGAUCCGUAGCUGGUUUGAGAGGACGACCAGCCACACUGGUUCGGAGACACGGCCCAGACUCCGGGAGAGGCAGCAGUGAAAUUUUGGACAAUGGGGAAACCCUGAUCCAGCCAGCCGCGUGUGCAGUGAAGGCCUUCAGGUUGUAAAGCACUUUUGGCGGAAAGAAACGGCACGGGAUAAUACCCCGUGCAACUGACGGUACCUGCAGAAUAAGCACCGGCUAACUUACGUGGCAAGCCGCAUUGUUAUCCCGUAAGUGCAAGCGUUAAUCGGAAUUUACUGGAGAAGCAAAGCGUGCAGAGCGGUUCGGAAAGAAGAUGUGAAAUCCCAGAGCUUAACUUUGGAACUGCAUUUUUAACUACCGAGCUAGAGUGUGUCAGAGGGAGGUGGAAUUCCGCUGAUAUCAACAGUGAAAUGCGUAGAUAUGCGGAGGAACACCGAUGGCGAAGGCAGCCUCCUGGGAUAGCACUGACGCUCAUGCACAGCGGUGGGGAGCAAACAGGAUUAGAUACCCUAAGUCACGCCCUAAACGAUGUCAACUAGCUGUUGGGAGCCCCUUCGGGCCUUGGUAGCGCAACUAGCAUCAAGUCAUUACCUGGAAGCAGGUACCAGAUUAAAAACUCAAAAGGAAUUGACGGGGACCCGCACAAGCGGUGGAUGAUGUGGAUUAAUUCGAUGCAACGCGAAAACCUUACCUACCCUUGACAUGUCUGGAAUCCCGAAGAGAUUUGGGAGUGCUCGCAGAGAACCGGAACACGAGUGCUGCAUGGCUGUCGUCAGCUCGUGUCGUGAGGAUGUUGGGUUAGAGUCACCAACCCAGGCGCAACCCUUGUCAUUAGUUGCUACGAAGGGAGCACUAAUGAGACUGCCGGUGACAAACCGGAGGAAGGUAGAGGGAUGACGUCAAGUCCUCAUGGCCCAUAUGGGUAGGGCUUCACACGUCAUACAAUGGUCGGGACAGAGGGUCGCCAACCCGCGAGGGGGAGCCAAUCCCGAAACCCGAUCGUAGUCCGGAUCCUGAUCACAGCUCGACUGCGUAAGUCGGAAUCGCUAGUAAUCGCGGAUCAGCAUGUCGCGGUGAAUACGUUCCCGGGUCUUGUACACACCGCCCGUCACACCAUGGGAGUGGGUUUUACCGAAGUAGUUAGCCUAACCGUAAGGAGGGGGCAGUUACCACGGUAAGGAAGGAUUCUGACUAGGUUGAUCCUUCAGAAUACAA
rnacentral:rRNA from 1 species